UGCCCAUGAUUCUGAGCUUGGAGAAAAUAACAGUGACCUUAGGGGACAUUGAGUAUGAGAACCUGCUUCUAUAAAGACUCUCUUUUGUGAUCCAAUAAGCUUGGGGAAAACAGUAGUUGCAUGCUGUAAUUUGCUAUUGGGUUAAUUAGGCUGACCACCAUUUCAAUUUGUGAUUUUAAUUUUGGCUCGCCAAAUCAAACAUUGUCGGUGUAGAUCUAAAGGACUAAGGACAUGUUAGAUGCCUAGACCUCGUAUCCAUUUGAUAUUUCUGUCAAGCGAAGAGGUGUGGCUGGGUCUACCUCAUGGUAAGAGUGGGAUCAAAUCCAGGUAUCUUUUAUCAACACAAGAGGCUCCACUCAUAUGAGAAACUUUCUAAAAAUUGAUUAAAGGAUCUCAAUAAUGUUAUGAUUCUAGGAA
rnacentral:lncRNA from 1 species